ACCUCACACUCUUAAUUCCAAAUUAUCUUUUCUCAGCAGGAUGGAAAUAGAUAUCCAAACUGCAUAACCUUUCAUCCAACACUACCACUGCUAGGCUACAGAAAAGGCUUAAGUAACUUAAUUUUUCUCACAAAACCUGAUGUAGAUAUUUGGCAGCUUCUAAUCUGGCUGGGUGCCCUGACAUGAAUUGCAGAUUCUCUGUGCUCCUUUUGAGAGGAGUUUGAGGAGGAUGAAAGCAGAUGCAGACAAACGCAGAUGGAGCCCAGAAGCCAAAUAACAUGAGGCUGCUCACUACAACAGAAGUGGAUUUGGCAGCCUCACACUGUUUUAAGGAAGAAAGCUGCCAGAGGCUUGAAAGUCACUUCUCUGAGGCUCCAUAGCCCCCAACCUAGAAGAAAAAAACUAGAAUCCUACACUUUCUGGAAGAUGUUUGGCCUCAAAAUGUCAUAUGCUAAGUCACUUGUCAUUGCUGCCAAAUCAUUCUUUUGUGCAAAAUGCUACAACUCAACAAAAGGUUUCUGCUUUUGCAUUUUCCUCAUUUUCUUCUGCUGCCACCAUAUAAGAAGUGCUUUCACCUCCUGCCAUGAUUCUGAGGCCUCCCCAGCCAUGUGAAACUGUAAGUCCCUAAACUACCUUUUCUUCCCAAUCUCGUAUAUGUCUUUAUCAGCAGCAUGAAAACAGACUAAUACACAAGGAGUUUCU